rnacentral:lncRNA from 1 species
GAUAAAUGACACUUUCUAAAAACCACCUGAAAACAAAGGGGCCUCAGCCUGCUUGGUCUACAGAUUUAUCAGAGCUCAGAGAAGUACAGAAGUGGCUGGGAGUGCCCACACAUCAGUUUUCGAGGCCGUGGUGAUGGUCCUGGCUGGGCCAGGGCAGAAGGAGCCCGGUGUGGACUUCAAUCAAGGGGGCACUGCCAGGACAAGACCCUGCUUCGCUUCCUGGAUGCAGUGUGAGUAGAAUAACACAGCUGUGCACUUCUCAGGGGCUGGCUCUGCGCUGACGGCUGUGAGCUCCUGUUCUUGUUUACUU